rnacentral:Y_RNA from 1 species
GGUUGGUCCGAGUGCAGUGGUGUUGACAACUGAUUGACCACAACCAGUUACAGAUUCCUUUGUUCCUUCUCCAACUCCCACUGCUUCACUUGACCAGCAAAA